rnacentral:rRNA from 1 species
CCUACGGGUGGCAGCAGUGGGGAAUAUUGGGCAAUGGGCGCAAGCCUGACCCAGCAACGCCGCGUGAAGGAAGAAGGCUUUCGGGUUGUAAACUUCUUUUCUGAGGGACGUAGAAAGUGACGGUACCUCAGGUAUAAGCCACGGCUAACUACGUGCCAGCAGCCGCGGCAAUACGUAGGCGGCAAGCGUUAUCCGGAUGCAUUGGGUGUAAAGGGCGUGUAGGCGGGAAAGCAAGUCAGAUGUGAAAACUCAGGGCUCAACCCUGAGACUGCAUUUGAAACUGUUUUUCUUGAGUGCUGGAGAGGCGAUCGGAAUUCCGUGUGUAGCGGUGAAAUGCGUAGAUAUACGGAGGAACACCAGUGGCGAAGGCGGAUUGCUGGACAGUAACUGACGCUGAGGCGCGAAAGCGUGGGUAGCAAACAGGAUUAGAUACCCGGGUAGUC